rnacentral:rRNA from 1 species
AGUGAACGCUGGCGGCGUGGAUUAGGCAUGCAAGUCGAACGAUCUAGCAAUAGAUAGUGGCGAAAGGGUGAGUAACGCGUGAGCAAUCUACCUUCGAGUGGGGAAUAACCUUGGGAAACCGAGGCUAAAACCGCAUAAGACCACGGCCUGGCAUCAGGCUGUGAUCAAAAGUGGGGACCGCAAGGCCUACUGCUUGAAGAUGAGCUCGCGUCCUAUCAGCUUGUUGGCGGGGUAACGGCCCACCAAGGCUUUUGACGGGUAGCUGGUCUGAGAGGAUGGUCAGCCACAUUGGGACUGAGACACUGCCCAGACUCCUACGGGUGGCUG